UACGUAGGGGGCUAGCGUUGUCCGGAUUUAUUGGGCGUAAAGAGCGUGUAGGCGGCUAUUUAAGUCCUGCGUGAAAUCCUGCGGCUCAACCGCAGACGGUCGUGGGAAACUGGAGUGCUGGAGCGCGGGAGAGGAAAGCGGAAUUCCUGGUGCAGCGGUGAAAUGCGUAGAUAUCAGGAGGAACACCGGCGGUGUAGACGGCUUUCUGGACCGUAGCUGACGCUGAGACACGAAAGCGUGGGUAGCAAACAGG
rnacentral:rRNA from 1 species